UCCCUCUUAGCUCAGUUGGUAGAGCGCGUCACUAGUAUAUCUCUGUCGCCCAGUGCGGUGUCAUGACGAGGUCAGUCGUUCAAAUCGGCUAGCGGGAA